CAACAAUUAAAGAUUAAAAAUCCAAAUUACAAUUUUUUUUUUAAAUUACAGACUUACAGUUCAUCUUGCAAUUAAACAAUUUAAAUAUCAAACAAUUUCAUUUUGCAAUUAAGUCUUAAAUACAGUUUAUUUUUAUCUUGCAAUUUGCUGUGAUUUCUUCUUGGUGAAAGACGAUCUCGCAUCCUGGGACAUCACCAAAAACCCACACCCCAACACGCAAAGAGGGGGGGAAUACUGAUAACAUCCUGGUUUUCUAUGCGUCGUUUAUGUGCCGCAUAAACGACUAUGCGGUUUUCCAGACCCCCGCAUAGAUGUUCUAUGCGUUUGGCGGGUCUGGAUUGGGUCGAGUCGACUUUACCCAAAUUUAAAAUAAAAAAAACUAAAAUCCCCACAUAAAACCCCUCGCAUAAAACAGUCCAGACCUAAAAUCCCCACAUAACCCCCCCUGACAUAAAACAGUCCAGGCCUAAAAUCCCCGCAUAACCCCCCUGCAGCACACGGACACGUUGACGAACAACUCCUCUCCUGAAAACGGUAACCACCUCUUUUGCGUUUAUUUAAAACGCGUGUUGUCAGUACAUAUUCAUGCGUGUUGCAACUUGCAACCACUUGACAUGUAAAUAUUUAAAUUUUAAUGACAC
rnacentral:lncRNA from 1 species